rnacentral:miRNA from 1 species
AUCCCUGGGGAUCUUGUGAAAAUACAGAUUCGGAUCUUGGCAUUAGACCCAAGAUUCUGCAUUUCUAGCAAGGUCACGAGUGAUGC